rnacentral:rRNA from 1 species
GACGAACGCUGGCGGCGUGCCUAAUACAUGCAAGUCGAACGGAGUGGCGAACGGGUGAGUAACACGUGGGUGACCUGCCCUGCACUUCGGGAUAAGCCUGGGAAACUGGGUCUAAUACCGAAUAAAGGGGGAUGGGCUCGCGGCCUAUCAGCUUGGUGGUGGGGUGAUGGCCUACCAAGGCGGUGACUGGUAGCCGGCCUGAGAGGGUGACCGGCAACAUGGGGACUGGGAUACGGCCCAGACUCCUACUGGAGGCGGCAGGGGGGGAUAUUGCACAAUGUGCGAAAGCCUGAUGCAGCGACGCCGCGUGGGGGAUGAAGGCUUUCGGGUUGUAAACCUCUUUCGCUAUCGACGGGGUAUGUGGAGAAGAAGCGCCGGCUAACUACGUGCCAGCAGCCGCGGUAAUAC